AUGUGUGGUCUCUGUUCUUCGUUACUCUAUGCAACAGGUAGGAUCCAAGAAUAUAACACAGAAAAACACAUUGAAAUUGUCUCUUCACAAAGUCCCUUGAAGCUUUGUUUUAUACACAUUUGUUAUAAUGUAGACUUUGUCUUGGCAGUCAUUUGCACUCUCUGUUCAAAUUCUACAUAGAAUCUUUUGGAAAUUGUAUUUCAUGAAAGAAAUUUCAUUUAACUGGUAGCUCUUAGUUCUCAAAAAUAGGUUUAUUCUGCUAUGAGAACAAUUCCAAAGUGGAGACAAGAAUUCUUCCACCCAUAUGGUAGUUUUGAAAUGCUUAGCAUCUUAUUUACAAUUGACUGUCUAUCAGUAUGCUAGAUUAGUUAUGUUCCUGUUUAAGUUUACUCUCUUCCUAUUUAAGACUAAAACAUAUAUCACAACUCAUUUGUUUACUUCUAUAUUUACACUUGUGUAAACCAGAGUAAGGAGUCAAGAAAAACUUCAUAAAUACACAAAACUGCUCCUUACAGUCCUAUAUAUUCCCCAUUGCUCAUGGAUAAUAUUUAACAUCUAGCAUCCUUAGUAUUGAAUGUGAGGGUCUUUACAACACAGCCCCCUCCAUUACAACAUUAUCUCUGCCACUUCCUCAUUUUCUCCUCAUCUCUUUUAUAUUCCAGCUUUGCCUGACUAAUUGCCAUUUCCAAAACAUGCCACGUUCUUCCAAGCUUUGUACCAUUCUCUCUAUCUGUUUUACUUGCAAACCCCUAUUUAUUUUUUAGUUCUCAUAUCCGUAUUAUUUUAUAUACUACUGUUCUUGGGCUAAGGCAAAAAAUGUCACUGCCUUAUUUAUGUUUUAUAAUACUUUUAUAACCACUAUUAUAUCACAUAUUUGUUUUUAUAUAAUCAUUCACUUAUGUUUAUGUUUUCCCAGCUAGAUUCUUAAUUUUCUCAAGAAUAGACCAAUUCUAUAUUUUGCUUUAGAUUCGUGCCUUCUACAAAGCCUUCCACGAUGUUUGGCAUACAAUAAGCCCUCAAAAAAUGUCUACUGAAUUAAGUUAAACAUGAUUCUAGAGGCCUGUGCAAUAGAUCAUUGGCAUCAUCCAACUUCUCACAAUUUCAUUGCAUAUUCUUCAAAUCAACACUUAGAAUGACAAUUAGAUUACACAGCAUAAUUUUCCCCAAUGGGUGGGGCAUUUUAACCAGUCUUGCCCAUUUUUUUUUCUUGUGAU
rnacentral:lncRNA from 1 species